UACGUAGGGCGCAAGCGUUGUCCGGAAUUAUUGGGCGUAAAGAGCUCGUAGGCGGCCUGUUACGUCUGCUGUGAAAGCCCGGAGCUCAACUCCGGGUCUGCCGCGGAUACUGCGAGGCUUGAGUGCUGUAGAGGGGGGUAGAAUGCCGGGUGUAGCGGUGGAAUGCGUAGAGAUCCGGCAGAAGACCGGUGGCGAAGGCGGCCCCCUGGGCAGUAACUGACACUGAGGCGCGACAGCGUGGGGAGCAAACAGG
rnacentral:rRNA from 1 species